rnacentral:misc_RNA from 1 species
GCAAGCCAAUGCUCCAUAACUGACCCACAUUGAAAAAUUUUUUGGCCUAAGGUCUAAUCCUUUUAGUAGAUACUGAGAUUAUUUAUAUUCCAGCAUGUAUAUUUGAUCUCUAUUGAUUAUAAAGGUUCACAGCAGUGCAAAUUUCUAGCUUGCAACUAAUAACUUUGAUGAUUACAAACCAAAUAAAAUAAUAAUUAAACAACCUCAAAAACUACAUAGAAUUUGCA